UACGUAGGUGGCAAGCGUUGUCCGGAUUUAUUGGGUUUAAAGGGUGCGUAGGCGGCUUUGUAAGUCAGUGGUGAAAUAUGGCAGCUCAACUGUCAAGGUGCCAUUGAUACUGCGGAGCUUGAGUACAGAUGAGGUAGGCGGAAUUGACGGUGUAGCGGUGAAAUGCUUAGAUAUGACACAGAACACCGAUUGCGAAGGCAGCUCACUAAGCUGUAACUGACGCUGAGGCACGAAAGCGUGGGGAGCAAACAGG
rnacentral:rRNA from 1 species